rnacentral:rRNA from 1 species
CCUACGGGAGGCAGCAGUGAGGAAUAUUGGUCAAUGGACGCAAGUCUGAACCAGCCAAGUAGCGUGCAGGAUGACGGCCCUCCGGGUUGUAAACUGCUUUUAGUUGGGAAUAAAAGGGGGCUCGUGAGCCCCGUAUUGUAUGUACCAUCAGAAACAGGACCGGCUAAUUCCGUGCCCGCAGCCGCGGUAAUACGGAGGGUCCUGGCGUUAUCCGGAGUUAGUGGGUUUAAAGGGAGCGUAGGUCGGCUUUUAAGUCAGCUGUGAAGGUCCGCGGCUCAACCGUGGAAUUGCAGUUGAAACUGGAGGCCUUGAGUGCACACAGGGAUGCCGGAAUUCAUGGUGUAGCGGUGAAAUGCUUAGAUAUCAUGAAGAACUCCGAUCGCGAAGGCAAGUGUCCGGGGUGCAACUGACGCUGAGGCUCGAAAGUGCGGGUAUCAAACAGGAUUAGAUACCCUUGUAGUC